rnacentral:rRNA from 1 species
GUGCACCAGGCGAGAAACCUCCGCAAUACACGAAAGUGUGACGGGGCCAUCCCGAGUGCCGUCCGCUGAGGACGGCUUUUCCCCAGUGUACACAGCUGGGGGAAUAAGGAGAGGGCAAGCCUGGUGUCAGCCGCCGCGGUAAUACCAGCUCUCCGAGUGGUGGGGACGCUUAUUGGGCCUAAAGCAUCCGUAGCCGGCUGGGCAAGUCCUCCGUUAAAUCCAACGAUUCAAUCGUUGGGCUGCGGGGGAUACUGUCCAGCUUGGGGGCGGGAGAGGCCGACGGUAUUCCCGGGGUAGGGGUGAAAUCCUAUAAUCCCGGGAGGACCACCAGUGGCGAAGGCUGUCGGCUAGAACGCG